rnacentral:rRNA from 1 species
CGAAUCUUCCGCAAUGGGCGAAAGCCUGACGGAGCAAUGCCGCGUGUGGGAUGAAGCAUCUUCGAUGUGUAAACCACUGUCAGGGUCUAGGAAUACUGACCAGACCCAAAGGAAGGGCCGGCUAAUUCCGUGCCAGCAGCCGCGGUAAUACGGAAGGCCCGAGCGUUAAUCGGAAUCACUGGGCUUAAAGCGUACGCAGGCGGACUUGUAGGUAUCUUGUGAAAUCCCAUGGCUUAACCAUGGAACUGCAGGGUAAACCACAAGUCUUGAGACAUGUAGGGGUCAGUGGAACUAUGAGUGGAGCGGUGAAAUGCGUAGAUAUUCAUGGGAACGCCAAUGGCGAAGGCAGCUGACUGGGCAUGUUCUGACGCUCAGGUACGAAGCGUGGGUAGCGAACGGGAUUAGAUACCCUAGUAUUCC